UACUGGAAUAAGGUCACUCUGUUCUUCACAGUGUGGCAGAACCUAGAAUGUCCAUUAGCAGGGAAAAAUCCUGGGGAGAAUCGGCUUGUGGAAUGGAUGAAAACCCCAUCUGAAUUCUCUCACAUUACCCUUCUCGCCCUGACAGGCUACAGACUAACGUCCACGUUUGAUCCAGAUCAUCCCAUCCUCCCAGGGGGCAGGAAAUGGCUGCAGUGGAGCUGGCUCAGGUCACUUUCUGCAAACAAGCUGCCUGUUGCAGUUCUCAGAGCCCCAAGCAGACCCCAAAGAACCCGCCGAAUACCCGGAGCGCCGCUGGCUUAGUAAAAAGAAACCAACCAAUGUCAGAUAUGGAGGAUGAAGUAGAGCUACAAAUUAAGAAUGAAACUGAUUUAGGGAACUGCCUACAUUCUCGAUUUUCG